rnacentral:rRNA from 1 species
GAUGAACGCUGACAGAAUGCUUAACACAUGCAAGUCGAUGGGGAAGUGGUGCUUGCACCAUGGUAACCAUGGCGGACGGGUGAGUAACGCGUAAGGAACUUGCCUGCGGGACCGGGAUAACAGCAGGAAACUGCUGACAAGACCGGAUAAGGUCAUUAAGCCGCAUAGCUUAGUGAUGAAAGGAGACGCCUGCGGAGAGCCUUGCGUCCUAUUAGCUAGUUGGAGGGGUAACGGCCCACCAAGGCGAAGAUAGGUAGCCGGCCUGAGAGGGUGGACGGCCACAAGGGGACUGAGAUACGGCCCUUACUCCUACGGGAGGCAGCAGUGGGGAAUAUUGGACAAUGGGGGCAACCCUGAUCCAGCAAUUCUGUGUGCACGAAGACGGUUUUCGGAUUGUAAAGUGCUUUCAGCAGGGAAGAAGUAAGUGACGGUACCUGCAGAAGAAGCGACGGCUAAUUACGUGCCAGCAGCCGCGGUAAUACGUAUGUCGCGAGCGUUAUCCGGAAUUAUUGGGCAUAAAGGGCAUCUAGGCGGCCUUUCAAGUCAGGGGUGAAAACCUGCGGCUCAACCGCAGGCCUGCCUUUGAAACUGAUAGGCUGGAGUACCGGAGAGGUGGACGGAACUGCACGAGUAGAGGUGAAAUUCGUAGAUAUGUGCAGGAAUGCCGAUGAUGAAGAUAGUUCACUGGACGGCAACUGACGCUGAAGUGCGAAAGCCGGGGGAGCGAACAGG